rnacentral:misc_RNA from 1 species
GCAAACUUGGUCAUUUAGAGGAAGUAAAAGUCGUAACAAGGUUUCCGUAGGUGAACCUGCGGAAGGAUCAUUACCAAUCAUGUCUCCCAGCCGAAAGGUUGGUGCAGGCUUUCAACCCUUUGUGAACCAAAAAACCUUUCGCUUCGGCAGCAGCCCGGUUGGGAACAACCUCCGCGUCAGCCUGCCGGUAGCACCGUAAAAACUUGCAGUUGAUAACAUUGUCUGAUUACCAAAUUUUCGAAUGAAAAUCAAAACUUUCAACAACGGAUCUCUUGGUUCCCGCAUCGAUGAAGAACGCAGC